rnacentral:lncRNA from 1 species
CUGAUCGUUAUCUUGGGAUAAACAUUCCAAAUGGAAGGAGCUUCCAUCAGCUGCCUGACGAGCAAGCUUCAGCUUCCAACCAGAUAGACAGCAGGGCAGCUCCAGCUCCAGGACACCACGUGAGAUGAGAAGUCUGGGAGGCAGCUGGGUGGGGUCCGUGAUGCAGGGUUGGGGCUGAUGCGUGUAAGAGAGUCUAAUAUCCACAAUCAGUUUAAGAGGCUCUAAGAGACCAAUAGACAUUGAGCAGAAACCACUAC